GACGAACGCUGGCGGCGUGCUUAACACAUGCAAGUCGAGCGGAAAGGCCCGGCGUUUGUUUUUUUCUCGAUUGGCGAGCGGGGGAGUAACACGUGAGUAACCUCCCCUUGUCUUUGGGGGAACUUCAGGGAACUGCGGCGCUUACCGGAGAGGAUAUUCUGCUGCAUGUGGUUGGUAGGAAAAUUACGGCGUUUGUGGCUGGACUCGCAGGUUAUCAGCUAGAUUGGGGGGUAGUUGCUGACCAAGGCUUUGACGGGUAGCCUGCCUGAGAGGGUGACCGGCGUCAAUGGUACUGAGAUAGGCACCAGAAUGCUAUGGGCCGCAGCAGUGGAGAAUAUUGCACAAUGGGCGGACGCCUGAUGUAGCAACGCCGCGUGCGGAAUGCCGGGCUACGGGUUGUAAACAUAUUUCGAAUGAGACGAAGCGUGAGUGACGGUAAUGGGUAAAGAAGCACCGGCUAACUACGUG
rnacentral:rRNA from 1 species